rnacentral:rRNA from 1 species
AUUGAACGCUGGCGGCAGGCCUAACACAUGCAAGUCGAGCGAGCGGCGGACGGGCGAGUAAUGUAUGGGGACUGCCCGAUAGAGGGGGAUAACUACUGGAAACGGUGGCUAAUACCGCAUACUAUCGGAUAACCCAUAGGGGAUUAGCUAGUCGGGUGGGUAAAGGCUCACCUAGGCGACGAUCUCUAGCUGGUCUGAGAGGAUGAUCGGCCAAAUGGGGAAUGAAGCACAGCCCAGACUCCAACGGAGGCAGCAGUGGGGAAUAUUGCGCAAUGGGCGCAAGCCUGAUGCGGCCAUGCCACGUGAAUGAAGAAGGCCUUAGGGUUGUAAAGUACUUUCAGCGGAGAGGCGUUACCCGCAGAAGAAGCACCGGCUAACUCCGUGCCAGCAGCCGCGGUAAUAC